AAGCGUGUCGCGAUGAU
rnacentral:rRNA from 1 species